UACGUAGGGUGCAAGCGUUGUCCGGAAUUAUUGGGCGUAAAGAGCUCGUAGGCGGUCUGUCACGUCGGCUGUGAAAACCCACGGCUCAACCGUGGGCUUGCAGUCGAUACGGGCAGGCUAGAGUUCGGUAGGGGAGACUGGAAUUCCUGGUGUAGCGGUGAAAUGCGCAGAUAUCAGGAGGAACACCGGUGGUGUAGACGGCUUUCUGGACCGUAACUGACGCUGAGACACGAAAGCGUGGGUAGCAAACAGG
rnacentral:rRNA from 1 species